rnacentral:tmRNA from 1 species
GGGCUUGUACUGGUUUCGACGGGGGUUUUGAAGUUUGAGGAGCCAUCCGCAGCGGGACACUGCGUUAAAAGUUCCACCUAAAUAUAAACGCAGACAAUAGUUACGCGUACGCAGCUUAAUUGCUGCAGUCGGCCUUAGGUCUUCCGUUGCUUAAGAAUCCGGCUUCGACGAGACGGAGAACUUCUUUCCCAAAGCUUUGCGGGAAUGAAAGAUUUCAUGAAGCUACUAAAGUCCUAAGCCUGUCAUUAGGCGUAUGACGGAGGGAAUGUCAGUAUAAUGACUGUGAUGGGAGAGCCUCGGAUGGAUGGGCUUUCGGACGCGGGUUCGAUUCCCGCCAGGUCCAC